CACGUAGGGCGCGAGCGUUGUCCGGAAUUAUUGGGCGUAAAGAGCUCGUAGGCGGUUUGUCGCGUCGGGAGUGAAAUCCACUGGCUUAACUGGUGGCUUGCUUUCGAUACGGGCAGACUGGAGGUAUGCAGGGGAGAACGGAAUUCCAGGUGUAGCGGUGAAAUGCGUAGAUAUCUGGAGGAACACCGGUGGCGAAGGCGGCAUCCUGGACCGGUAUUGACGCUGAGGAGCGAAAGCCAGGGGAGCAAACGGG
rnacentral:rRNA from 1 species